rnacentral:lncRNA from 1 species
CUAAGACACCUGAUUCCUGGGAACCAACCUGUGUGGGAGUCACAAAAGUGGUGGAUGUGGCUCCCAAAAUGGCUUAUUUUGGACUCCGAAAAUAAGAGAGGGGUCCCUUCUCUGUGAGGCUGAGUUUCCUGACUGUACGAAGGAGUCAGGCCUUUCCCCUGUGACGUUUUCUCCUCUUUAUUACAGUGGCAGGAGCAUCCCUGCGAGAGGCCUGACCCAGGUGUGUAGCCCAAGCAGCCAGCCCGGAAAUCCAAUGGGGUGUUCUUGGGGUGCAGAGGAUUUGUGACAGUCCAUACACAGAAAAAGGAAAAGGUGGCUUUGAAGAGACCUGACUGGCCAGUGUCUCAAAGACGUGGAUGGUGACCAGCUCUCUCCAGAACAGAUGGCGCUCCAGCUUUGUGGGAGAAACUUUCAAGGUGUGGAUCACUUGGAAGUCAUUUGAAACCUAUGAAGUUUAACAUCUCUGCUUUGGAUGGAAUGCUCAUCACCUACAGCAGUCAGGGAUGUAACUAAACUUGC